GCCAGGCAUGGUGGCGCAUGUCUGUAAUCCCAGCGACUCAGGAGGCUGAGGCAGGAGGAUCACGAGUUCAAAGCCAGCCUCAGCGAUGUCAAGGCACUAAGCAACUCAGUGAGAUCCUGUCUCUC
rnacentral:sRNA from 1 species